GACCCGCGUCUGAUUAGCUAGUUGGUAAGGUAACGGCUUACCAAGGCGACGAUCAGUAGCCGACCUGAGAGGGUGAUCGGCCACAUUGGAACUGAGACACGGUCCAAACUCCUACGGGAGGCAGCAGGGGGGAAUAUUGCACAAUGGGCGAAAGCCUGAUGCAGCAACGCCGCGUGAGUGAUGAAGGCCUUCGGGUCGUAAAACUCUGUCCUCAAGGAAGAUAAUGACGGUACUUGAGGAGGAAGCCCCGGCUAACUACGUGCCAGCAGCCGCGGUAAUACGUAGGGGGCUAGCGUUAUCCGGAUUUACUGGGCGUAAAGGGUGCGUAGGCGGUCUUUCAAGUCAGGAGUGAAAGGCUACGGCUCAACCGUAGUAAGCUCUUGAAACUGGGAGACUUGAGUGCAGGAGAGGAGAGUGGAAUUCCUAGUGUAGCGGUGAAAUGCGUAGAUAUUAGGAGGAACACCAGU
rnacentral:rRNA from 1 species